rnacentral:rRNA from 1 species
UACGGAGGGGGCUAGCGUUGUUCGGAAUUACUGGGCGUAAAGCGCGCGUAGGCGGACCUGCAAGUCGGGGGUGAAAGCCCGAGGCUCAACCUCGGAACUGCCUUCGAUACUGCGGGUCUCGAGUCCGGGAGAGGUGAGUGGAAUUCCUAGUGUAGAGGUGAAAUUCGUAGAUAUUAGGAAGAACACCAGUGGCGAAGGCGGCUCACUGGCCCGGUAC